rnacentral:ncRNA from 1 species
UUAUAUAGUGUAUAUGAGGGUGCUCUCUCCGAGCCUAACAGGGAAGGAGGUGUGAAUCCUCCGCGGUCCCGCCGCUGUAAGGGAAGAGGACAAGGCAUACGCCACUGGGGACAACCCCGGGAAGGCGCUUUUGUCCGAUGAAGCCUAAGCCAGAAGACCUGCCUUCAUACACGCGCCGCCA